rnacentral:misc_RNA from 1 species
UUAUCAACCCUCAAGCCCGGCUUGUUAUUGGGUCCUUUAUCUGUUAAAAGAUAGGCCUGAAAGAUAAUGGCGGCGUCAUAGGUGACCCCAGGUGCAGCGAGCUAUAGCAUACACUGUGGUGGUCCUUAUGGCCUGGCCCUUUUGUUAAAUUUUUAACCAAGGUUGACCUCGGAUCAGGUAGGAAUACCCGCUGAACUUAA